rfam:Myotis davidii contig122266, whole genome shotgun sequence.
GGCAGUUCUCAGGUGACACAUUCCAGAAUCAGGCUCCCUCCUCUCUGGUUCCAGGUACAUCACCUGAGAACUGCA